CCUACGGGCGGCAGCAGUAGGGAAUUUUCGGCAAUAGGGGGAACCCUGACCGAGCAACGCCGCGUGAACGAAGAAGUUAUUCGUAAUGUAAAGUUCUUUUAACAGGGAAGAAAGAGAAAUUUGACGGUACCUGAAGAAUAAGCCCCGGCUAACUACGUGCCAGCACCCGCGGUAAUACGUAGGGAGCGAGCGUUAUCCGGAAUUAUUGGGCGUAAAGGGGGCGUAGAUGGCAGAGUAAGUCUUUUGUAAAAAUGCUGGUCUAAACCCAGUAGGGCAAAAGAUACUGCAAAGCUAGAGUAUGAGAGAGGCAAGUGGAAGUAGAUGUGUAGCGGUAAAAUGCGUAGAUAUAUGUAAGAACACCAGUGGCGAAGGCGGCUUGCUGGGUCGAUACUGACAUUGAGGCACGAAAGCGUGGGGAGCAAACAGGAUUAGAUACCCUUGUAGUC
rnacentral:rRNA from 1 species